rnacentral:rRNA from 1 species
GUAGGGUGCGAGCGUUAAUCGGAAUUACUGGGGCGUAAGGCGUGCGCAGGCGGUUGUGCAAGACAGAUGUGAAAAUCCCCCGGGGGCUCAAACCUGGGGAAUUGCAUUUGUGACUGCACGGCUAGAGUGUGUCAGAGGGGGGUAGAAUUCCACGUGUAGCAGUGAAAUGCGUAGAGAUGUGGAGGAAUACCGAUGGCGAAGGCAGCCCCCUGGGAUAACACUGACGCUCAUGCACGAAAGCGUGGGGAGCAAACAGGAUUAGAUACCCUGGUAGUCCACGCCCUAAACGAUGUCAACUAGUUGUCGGGUCUUAAUUGACUUGGUAACGCAGCUAACGCGUGAAGUUGACCGCCUGGGGAGUACGGUCGCAAAGAUUAA